rnacentral:rRNA from 1 species
UGUGGGGGAUAACCAUUGGAAACGAUGGCUAAUACCGCAUGAUGCCUACGGGCCAAAGAGGGGGACCUUCGGGCCUCUCGCGUCAGGAUAUGCCCAGGUGGGAUUAGCUAGUUGGUGAGGUAAGGGCUCACCAAGGCGACGAUCCCUAGCUGGUCUGAGAGGAUGAUCAGCCACACUGGAACUGAGACACGGUCCAGACUCCUACGGGAGGCAGCAGUGGGGAAUAUUGCACAAUGGGCGCAAGCCUGAUGCAGCCAUGCCGCGUGUGUGAAGAAGGCCUUCGGGUUGUAAAGCA